rnacentral:lncRNA from 1 species
GGGUAUGUACGUCAAUGCCGACACAUUCAUAUACUUUCGAUUAAUUGUUUUCGCAUUGUAUCAUGAUAUAUAAUGUCAUUACCAAUUUACCAUGCUAGCUACUACUAAAACUAGAAAUUUUCUUCAUUUUUUAUGCGAAAAAGAUCACUAGCUAGUUAGUACUGAUGCACACCAAAAAUGUUGUUUUCUUCCAUGUUUGUAUCAUUCUUUAGAAGGCUUGAAGGUGAUCCAGACAUCCAGUGGUUAUUAGAAAAACCUGAGUGAGAGAAGUCAUGUGAAGUAAAACAUUAUUAAUAUGAACUGUGCAUCAUGUGGCAUUAAUUUGAUCAUUUGUCCAGUAUAGAUGGAGAUAUUGCCCAAUUAUGUCAAUUGAAUUAAUGAUUUCACCAACUUAUAUAUGUGGUUGGGAACUUGGGUUUCACAAAAAAGGAGUGAGAAAAUGAUCUUUACUUCUCCAUACUUGCUAAAAAAGGCUAUCCUGCAUUUUGCUUGCCAGGGCCGCUAUAAAUGCAGGAUAGACUCUUUUAUGAAUCUGCAUUGUGCUUCUUAUGUUGACACUUUUUAGUUGAUGAUAAUGUGUGCAGUCUGUGAUACCUAUGUGGAAGGAAUUGGAGUACUUUAAGGAGUAUGAGAAGAAAUUAUUCGAUUUCAUGGGGAAAAACAAUGCAAAGAAUAUGUUGCGCGAAGCAUUGUUUCUGACAAGUUUAGGGACAAAUGAUUUUAUAGAAAAUUACUACAUAAAUCCUGCAGGUCGAAGAGCCCAAUUCACAGUUGAAGAAUACUCGAAUUACCUUAUUGGCAUUUCAGAAAGUUUCAUUCGGGAGAUUUACAACUUAGGCGCUCGAAAAAUAUCGUUAGGUGGCCUUCCUCCUAUUGGUUGCUUACCACUUAUUAGAAGCAUAAAUAUUAAAGGAGGAGGUGCAUGUAGAGCUGAUUGUAACAAGUUGGCAAGAGAUUUUGAUGGGAAGUCAAUAGCAUUAGCAGACAAGUUAAACAAAGAGCUCACUGGGAUUAAAAUUUUGUUUUUAAAUGUGUAUAACCCUGCUCUUCAAGUGAUUAACAAUCCCCAGGCAUACGGUAAUCGCAUUUUCUCCCUUUAAUCCCACAUUUAACUGUUUUAUACAAGGUUUUUAAGUUAUUUUAUCAAUGAUUUUUGUAUAUAAUUUGUUUUAGUUUUCAUUUAUGAUGUAUAGGUUUCGAGAGUGUGGCUGUGGCGUGUUGUGGAACUGGAACAAUUGAGAUGAGUUACUUGUGCAACCGAGACAAUCCAUUUACGUGCAUGGACGCAAACAAGUACGUAUUUUGGGAUGCAGUGCACCCUACGGAGAAAUUAUACCAUAUUGUGGCAGAUCAUUUGAUGAAGACAACUUUGGCUGAACUUGUAUAAUUACUCCUGUACAGGCUACAACAACUAAGAUGAGGGUACCAUGGAUCUGGGUCAUAAAUUGUAAAUGCAUUCAAUAAUUCAUUGAUCUACUGUCUCUAAUCUGUCGUUCAUAACGUAAUGCAACCAUCAUAUAUUAUUUCAUUUUUAAUUAUAAAUACAUGUGCAGAAGCACAUUUUUUUAAUCAAGUCAAUCACAGUAUAUAUUUUCUGUUCUGGCUAAAAUCUGCACAACAAACUAUAAUAUCUUGGUGGAUGAUAUGCCAGGCAGCUCACCCAUUCUUCAUUACGCUGGGCCACUAGAUCAGGUAUGGGUCUAGCAAGCUGAGAGCAUUUGGUUUGGUUUCGACAGGCUUCAUUAUAUUAACCAAUAUGUUAUUGUGGAUAGCUGAUGAUAUGCAACUGGUAUUCAGGUCACAUAACAAACUGCAGCAGAAGACAGUGAACUCAUUGGACAACUGACAUCAGAAUGCUUUGAUGUUAUGUUGUCUUUGUUAUCUUCUGCAACAACUCAUACCAACUUGUAUGUAAUGGUAAUGAAUGUGACAACGAUCUGUGAAUGUGUGUGUACAAUUACUUUUUACACGAGUUAUAACAUGAUCGACAAUUAUUAUUGUCUAUCUUAGGCUUAUCCUGACAUAUAUGACAAACCUAACUAAGCCCGAAGACGAAGGCCAACAAACGCAAGGGUAAACCGAAUUACCGAAACCUGGCUCUUGACCUUUUUUUUGUUUUUGAUAAAGGGUAAUUGUAUUUAAAUUGGUUAAAAGAUACAAAGAAAUGGAGUUAUAACUUCUCCAGUUAAGUUACAAAUCUAUAAUAUACAAGUACAUAUUUUCAGUGGGCACGGUGAAAGGCAUAGGUCGCUCCCACCAAUGCUUAUCUCCUGCUUGCAGCUGCACGCCUGCACACCCUUGUUUGUGCAAAAGUCAGCUGCACACCCUUGGUACAGCACUGUACCUGAAAAUGUAUUGCCGGUUUCAGGAUGUGAUGGCUUAUAUAUGGGCCACAAAUUACAGGCUCAUGCAUUGUAUUGUAUGUGAUGGCUUUGUUGAAGAAGAAGAAGAAGAUAUCCUGCACUUUCGUUUGAAGGGUAGUAUUCUUUUUAUUUUGCAUGAAUGGUAGUAGCAUAGGAUACAAGACUACAUUCUCCAUUAAACCAAUAGAUAAACACUGGAGUAAUUGUAUAUAGUCUUUUUUCGUCGAUAAGAAUUGAAUUAAUGAAGAAUAAAAAGAAACAGUACAGAAGUAAAAGCCUUCAGGGUCCUCCACCCCACUGACUCCAGGCUGCAUCAACAGAAUCUGCAAUAACUCUCAUGGGGGUCCUCCAUUUUAUGUAAGAAUGGAGGCCUGACGACAUAAAAUUGUUCACUCCCAUUUACCAAAUUAACUCCUUCACUUGUCAGUCUGUCUGCAGAAUAGUUCACUCCCACCAUGUGGUCUAUUCCCUGCAACACCAACUGCCAUCUUGUACUCAGCUAGUCAGCUCCCAUGGCACCUCCUUCUCCCCAAAAGCAUGUACCACAGCUGUUGAGUCUAACUCUGUCCAGAGCUUCUUCCAAUAACUUUUUUAAUGGCUCUCUCUGCUCCUGCAACUACUGCAUGACACUCUGCCCUGUAGAUGGUGCCUGCGCCAAUGUUUGCAUCUAGCCAUUGCGGUCUCUGAAAACUGCACCAAUCCCAGAAUCCCCUGGAUUCCCUUUGGCUGUGCCGUCUGUAUUCAUCUUUGUGAAAGCAUGCACCACAAUUGUAUGGUUAUGUUUAUAGGUUUUUACAAUUGUUUAUGACUCUAAUUCAAUGCCAAGGACAUGGACUGACAAGAAAGACACCAAAAACAUUGAAAAGACUGCCUUUUUUUUUUUCCAAAAUGAAAAGACUGCCCUUUCUUCUGUAUACAUGUUUAUCUUAUAUUUUGACCUGGAGCCAUGGCUUGUUUAAUUCCAUUUUCAGUCCCUGAGGGUGCUCUUUGAUAUGGCUUCACAAUCAAACGGAAGACGUUGAUGCCGAUAGUAUUGCAGUAUUACUCCGAUACAUUCUCAGCUCUUUUGAAUUUCAGUGACUGCACUACUUGCAUGCAAAACCAUACUAAUUGAUCCACUGGAUUCAUCUACUUGGGAAAAGGUCAUCAUAUUAUAUAACUUAUUACUGAUAUUAUUGUGUUCUUUUCGUGUUAUGUCUAAUCAUUUUACAUUGUUUAGAAAUCUGUCUUCAACAUAAUAGUCCUUUACCUUUAAAAAUAGACCACAAUUUAGCUUUUAUAUUUUGCAGGACUGGCAUCAGAUUAAGCCAAUUAUCAUUAGUCAGUACAUAUAUGCUUAUCAGAGUGAGUACCUCUAUUCAGUUUUCUUUUUUAGUUUAAUGGUGGUUUUAUUGCAUUUCACUGGUGCUCUUUAGAUAAAAAAAAAAAAAAAAAAAGGCAUGAUCGUUUGACAUAAAAAAAAGGUAUCUUAAAAUUAAGGGUGUUUAUUCUGAGGAUGGAAAAAUCGAUUGAUCUACCUGAUGUAGAAUAUAUAAGCGAAGAAGAUGUUGAGGAAGAGGAAGUAGGGUUUAAUCCCAAAUUUGAGACAAAGCAAACCAUAUAAUCUUUAGUUGAUACAUUGUUAGCAAGUUAACAAGUUUUGUCGUUCAAAAUUGUACCUGAAAGGUUAUGUGCUCCCGCUAAAUCUGAAUUACCCAAGUGCGGAAUCGAACCACACAAUCACAUCUUUGCCUUUAUCAGUUUAGCUAUACCCAGGAAGCCAGGAUGGGCAGCUAGUGCUGCAUGCAAGUCUUUUAUACCGAAAUCUGAUAAGUGAUUACAAAGAGUUCCUAUGACGACAUGAAUUCUACAUCCAACAUGUAAGCAAUGAUAUCAUGGCCAGUUGGCAUUGCUUCAUAGUGUAUCUAAACAAAACUAUAUUACCAGUUAUUACCACAACAAGCUAGAACAUUUUUUUUUUCCUGUCACCAUCUUCAUUAAGCUUGUCCUUUUUUCUUUUCUUUUUUUCUAUCUUUUGCUAUAUAUAUGGUCCUGCAACUCCGUUGAUCUUAUUUACAUACAGUAAAGUAAAUGAUUCAUCAAAUUAGCUUAGUAUGUUUUUGUGUAGUGAACAUCUUCAUGUUUUUUGGAGAUGCCGGAGCUAAAGUUCCUGCGGUAAUAGUCUUUGGUGACUCAACAGUUGAUGCAGGAAACAAUAAUUACAUUAAAACACUUGCUAAAAGCAAUUAUCUGCCAUAUGGUCGAGAUUUUCCAGGAGGAAAACCAACUGGAAGAUUUUGUAAUGGAAGAUUAGUUACUGAUUUCAUAUCUGAGGCUUUUGGUCUUAAGCAAACUAUACCUGCUUAUUUGGAUCCAGCUUAUGGUAUUGAAGACUUUGCUACUGGUGUCGCUUUUGCUUCUGCUGCAACUGGUUAUGACAAUCUUACUUCCAACGUUCUGGUAUGUCUUUCGUACUAUAACGCAUUAUCAUGCUGCUACUAAAACUAUAGGUGAGCUCUGAUACACAUAAAAAUGUUGUUUUCUUCCAUUUUUGUCAUUCUUUAGAAGCUUGAAGGUGAUCUAAUAUGUCAAAACAGGCAAGGGAUCUUUGUGGGUCAAUGGAGUUAAUGAUUUCACCAACUUAUCUAGUUGGGAACUUGGGAUUUACAUCUCCAAUAUAGUUUUUUGUUAAAAACAUCUCCAUAUAUAGUUGCCAAAAAGGCUAAGGCUGCAUUUGCUUCCAGCCAUCACGCCCUUCUAGAUGUACAUUUGUCGAGAAUUGUUCUAGUUCUAAGAGCAAUUAUUUUUGGCCCUACGGAAAAAAGGAAACAAAUGCAGUAUAGCCUUUUUGGCAGAAAAUUUGAGAGACUAUAUAUUUUCCAUCAUUUUUUGAAUUUGCAUUGCGCAUUUUAUGUUGACACUUUUAGUUAAUUUUAAUGUGCAGUCUGUGAUACCUAUGUGGAAGGAAUUGGAGUACUUUAAGGAGUAUGAGAAGAAAUUAUU